CCAGACUCCUACGGGAGGCAGCAGUGGGGGAUAUUGCACAAUGGGGGAAACCCUGAUGCAGCGACGCCGCGUGUGGGAAGACGGUCCUCUGGAUUGUAAACCACUGUCCCCAGGGACGAAGAUGACGGUACCUGGGGAGGAAGCUCCGGCUAACUACGUGCCAGCAGCCGCGGUAAUACGUAGGUGGCAAGCGUUGUCCGGAAUUACUGGGUGUAAAGGGAGCGUAGGCGGGAGAUCAAGUUGGACGUUAAAUUCAUCGGCUCAACCGGUGCAAGCGUUCAAAACUGGUUUUCUUGAGUGGAGUAGAGGUAAGCGGAAUUCCUAGUGUAGCGGUGAAAUGCGUAAAUAUUAGGAGGAACACCAGUGGCGAAGGCGGCUUACUGGGCUUUAACUGACGCUGAGGCUCGAAAGCGUGGGUAGCAAACAGGAUUAGAUACCCCCGUA
rnacentral:rRNA from 1 species